rnacentral:rRNA from 1 species
UGGGGAAUAUUGGACAAUGGGGGGAACCCUGAUCCAGCCAUGCCGCGUGUGUGAAGAAGGCCUUAUGGUUGUAAAGCACUUUAAGCGAGGAGGAGGGUACUGGUAUUAAUACUACCAGGUACUGGACGUUACUCGCAGAAUAAGCACCGGCUAACUCUGUGCCAGCAGCCGCGGUAAUACAGAGGGUGCGAGCGUUAAUCGGAUUUACUGGCGUAAAGCGUGCGUAGGCGGCUAAUUGAGUCGGAUGUGAAAUCCCCGAGCUUAACUUGGGAAUUGCAUUCGAUACUGGUUAGCUAGAGUGUGGGAGAGGAUGGUAGAAUUCCAGGUGUAGCGGUGAAAUGCGUAGAGAUCUGGAGGAAUACCGAUGGCGAAGGCAGCCAUCUGGCCUAACACUGACGCUGAGGUACGAAAGCAUGGGGAGCAAACAGG